rnacentral:misc_RNA from 1 species
GAUGAAGAACGUAGCGAAAUGCGAUAAGUAAUGCGAAUUGCAGAAUUUCCGUGAGUCAUCGAAUCUUUGAACGCACAUUGCGCCCACUGGUAUUCCGGUGGGCAUGCCUGUUCGAGCGUCAUUAUCCUCCCUCAAACCUCGGGUUUGGUGUUGGACCCAAGUUGUGUGAACAACUGGUCUCAAAGACAAUGACGGCGUCCGCGGGACCCUCGGUGCAACGAGCUUUUAGGAGCACGCGUCGAGUUUCAAGGACCUUCCGGGCCGGUCUCCUUUACUAUUUUUACAAGGUUGACCUCGGAUCAGGUAGGAAUACCCGCUGAACUUAAGCAUAUCAAUAAGCGGAGGA